rnacentral:SRP_RNA from 1 species
GUUCGAGUCUCGCUUUCGAUCCCUCGAUCUGCCACGUCUGUNCGAAGAGUAGUCUUCGUGGCAACUGGCAGUUAAACCGUGUAGUACCGAUGGAGGUUGGAAACAAUGCACAUCACUACCGGGUCUUGGGCAGUGCGAUANGAUGGGAUUCACCUUCGCAGGAUGUGCAUGGAAGUAUAAACACAA